rnacentral:rRNA from 1 species
UGGGGAAUUUUUCGCAAUGGGGGAAACCCUGACGAAGCAACGCCGCGUGGAGGAUGAAGGCCUUCGGGUCGUAAACUCCUGUCGACCGGGACGAAAGUGGUUCGACCUAAUACGUCGGGCCAUCGACUGUACCGGUGGAGGAAGCCACGGCUAACUCUGUGCCAGCAGCCGCGGUAAUACAGAGGUGGCAAGCGUUGUUCGGAAUUACUGGGCGUAAAGGGCGCGUAGGCGGCUCUCUAAGUCCCGUGUGAAAGCCCUCGGCUUAACCGAGGAACUGCACGAGAAACUGGAGAGCUUGAGUUCGGGAGAGGGAAGCGGAAUUCCGGGUGUAGCGGUGAAAUGCGUAGAUAUCCGGAGGAACACCGGUGGCGAAGGCGGCUUCCUGGACCGACACUGACGCUGAGGCGCGAAAGCUAGGGGAGCAAACGGGAUUAGAUACCCCGGUAGUCCUAGCUGUAAACGAUGAGUGCUGGGUGUAGGGGGUAUUAACCCUCCUGUGCCGAAGCUAACGCAUUAAGCACUCCGCCU